GACGUAUGGGGCGAGCGUUGUCCGGAUUUAUUGGGCGUAAAGAGCGCGUAGGCGGCUCGUUAAGUCGGGUGUGAAAACCCGGGGCUCAACCCCGGGCCUGCAUCCGAUACUGGCGGGCUCGAGGCAGGUAGGGGAGAGUGGAAUUCCUGGUGUAGCGGUGAAAUGCGCAGAUAUCAGGAGGAACACCAGUGGCGAAGGCGGCUCUCUGGACCUGUCCUGACGCUCAGGCGCGAAAGCUAGGGGAGCAAACAGG
rnacentral:rRNA from 1 species